AUUGAACUCGCUGUGAAGAUGCAGUGUACCCGCGGCAAGACGGAAAGACCCCGUGAACCUUUACUAUAGCUUGACACUGAACAUUGAGCCUUGAUGUGUAGGAUAGGUGGGAGGCUUUGAAGUGUGGACGCCAGUCUGCAUGGAGCCGACCUUGAAAUACCACCCUUUAAUGUUUGAUGUUCUAACGUGGACCCGUGAUCCGGGUUGCGGACAGUGUCUGGUGGGUAGUUUGACUGGGGCGGUCUCCUCCUAAAGAGUAACGGAGGAGCACGAAGGUUGGCUAAUCCUGGUCGGACAUCAGGAGGUUAGUGCAAUGGCAUAAGCCAGCUUGACUGCGAGCGUGACGGCGCGAGCAGGUGCGAAAGCAGGUCAUAGUGAUCCGGUGGUUCUGAAUGGAAGGGCCAUCGCUCAACGGAUAAAAGGUACUCCGGGGAUAACAGGCUGAUACCGCCCAAGAGUUCAUAUCGACGGCGGUGUUUGGCACCUCGAUGUCGGCUCAUCACAUCCUGGGGCUGAAGUAGGUCCCAAGGGUAUGGCUGUUCGCCAUUUAAAGUGGUACGCGAGCUGGGUUUAGAACGUCGUGAGACAGUUCGGUCCCUAUCUGCCGUGGGCGCUGGAGAACUGAGGGGGGCUGCUCCUAGUACGAGAGGACCGGAGUGGACGCAUCACUGGUGUUCGGGUUGUCAUGCCAAUGGCACUGCCCGGUAGCUAAAUGCGGAAGAGA
rnacentral:rRNA from 1 species